rnacentral:lncRNA from 1 species
CCUCUGUGACCAUUUGUUUUGUUUCCACGGGCCGUGAGAAUCUCUGACCUUCACAUCAGCUGGUUUGUCACCAGGCCUUCAGCUCCCACCUGGCCAGCAUGCCAAUCUCAUUUCCCUAAAAACACACUUUCCUACAGCUAGCUGCUUGGGCUCUUGGUGAAAGGCAAUAGAAACAGUCUUGCCAAUUUAAGCAGAAAAAGGAAUGUGUGACAAACUGGGGCAGAGUUUCCAGCGGGAGAGCUGGAGUCAGAAUCUUCAACAUCUAUGCACAGAUCUGUCUGAAGUUUUCCUCCCACCUCUCUGUCAGGGACAGAGGUAAGACAAAGGUCAGAGGAGUCCUGGGUACAGUGAGUCUCCCAUCCUGGGUACGUGGUUGCUGAGCUUUCCAGCAUUGGCUCUAGCACCCAGUGGAAACACUACUGUGGAAACAAGGAUUUCUGCUGCUGAUCCAAAAGGAC